rnacentral:rRNA from 1 species
CCUACGGGCGGCAGCAGUGGGGAAUAUUGGACAAUGGGCGAAAGCCUGAUCCAGCCAUGCCGCGUGUGUGAAGAAGGCCUUCGGGUUGUAAAGCACUUUCAGUGGGGAAGAAAGCCUUGGGGCUAAUACCCUCGAGGAAGGACAUCACCCACAGAAGAAGCACCGGCUAACUCCGUGCCAGCAGCCGCGGUAAUACGGAGGGUGCGAGCGUUAAUCGGAAUUACUGGGCGUAAAGCGCGCGUAGGCGGUCUGAUAAGCCGGUUGUGAAAGCCCCGGGCUCAACCUGGGAACGGCAUCCGGAACUGUCAGGCUAGAGUGCAGGAGAGGAAGGUAGAAUUCCCGGUGUAGCGGUGAAAUGUGUAGAGAUCGGGAGGAAUACCAGUGGCGAAGGCGGCCUUCUGGACUGACACUGACGCUGAGGUGCGAAAGCGUGGGUAGCAAACAGGAUUAGAUACCCCAGUAGUC